AGGGUUCCGGUUCACGCCUUUGAGUCAGCACAGGCUCGACUCAGCCCAGGGCGACCCGGCGACC
rfam:Actinoplanes regularis strain DSM 43151 genome assembly, contig: Ga0170398_101